UCGAACGGCAGCGCGGGGUAACCUGGCGGCGAGUGGCGAACGGGUGAGUAAUAUAUCGGAACGUACCCUGGAGUGGGGGAUAACGUAGCGAAAGUUACGCUAAUACCGCAUACGAUCCAAGGAUGAAAGCAGGGGACCGCAAGGCCUUGUGCUCCUGGAGCGGCCGAUAUCUGAUUAGCUAGUUGGUGAGGUAAAGGCUCACCAAGGCGACGAUCAGUAGCUGGUCUGAGAGGACGAUCAGCCACACUGGAACUGAGACACGGUCCAGACUCCUACGGGAGGCAGCAGUGGGGAAUUUUGGACAAUGGGCGCAAGCCUGAUCCAGCAAUGCCGCGUGAGUGAAGAAGGCCUUCGGGUUGUAAAGCUCUUUUGUCAGGGAAGAAACGGCUGUGGCUAAUAUCCACGGCUAAUGACGGUACCUGAAGAAUAAGCACCGGCUAACUACGUGCCAGCAGCCGCGGUAAUACGUAGGGUGCAAGCGUUA
rnacentral:rRNA from 1 species